UACGUAGGUGGCAAGCGUUGUCCGGAUUUACUGGGCGUAAAGGAUGCGUAGGCGGACAUUUAAGUCAGAUGUGAAAUACCCGAGCUUAACUUGGGUGCUGCAUUUGAAACUGGGUGUCUAGAGUGCAGGAGAGGUAAGUGGAAUUCCUAGCGUAGCGGUGAAAUGCGUAGAGAUUAGGAAGAACACCAGUGGCGAAGGCGACUUACUGGACUGUAACUGACGCUGAGGCAUGAAAGCGUGGGGAGCAAACAGG
rnacentral:rRNA from 1 species